rnacentral:rRNA from 1 species
GGUCAAGUGACGAAGCGUGCACGGUGGAUGCCUUGGCAGCCAGAGGCGAUGAAGGACGUUGUAGCCUGCGAUAAGCUCCGGUUAGGUGGCAAACAACCGUUUGACCCGGAGAUCUCCGAAUGGGGCAACCCACCUGUCAUAAGGCAGGUAUCACACACUGAAUCCAUAGGUGUGUGAGGCGAACGCGGGGAACUGAAACAUCUAAGUACCCGUAGGAACAGAAAUCAAUUGAGAUUCCGUCAGUAGCGGCGAGCGAACGCGGAUUAGCCCUUAAGCAUGUGACUGGUUAGGAGAACGGUUUGGGAAGGCCGACCAUAGUGGGUGAUAGUCCCGUAUCCGAAAACCUGAGCAUGUGAAAACGAGUAGGUCGGGGCACGUGUAACCUUGACUGAACAUGGGGGGACCAUCCUCCAAGGCUAAAUACUCCUGGCUGACCGAUAGUGAACCAGUACCGUGAGGGAAAGGCGAAAAGAACCCCGGAGAGGGGAGUGAAAUAGACCCUGAAACCGUGUACGUACAAGCAGUCGGAGCCCGCUUUGUUGGGUGACGGCGUACCUUUUGUAUAAUGGGUCAGCGACUUAUUCUCAGUAGCGAGGUUAACCGUAUAGGGGAGCCGUAGGGAAACCGAGUCUGAAUAGGGCGACGAGUUGCUGGGAAUAGACCCGAAACCGGACGAUCUACCCAUGGGCAGGUUGAAGGUGCGGUAACACGCACUGGAGGACCGAACCGGGAUCUGUUGAAAAAGAUUCGGAUGACCUGUGGGUCGGAGUGAAAGGCUAAUCAAGUCCGGAGAUAGCUGGUUCUCCCCGAAAGCUAUUUAGGUAGCGCCUCGUAUAUCACCACCGGGGGUAGAGCACUGUUUCGGCUAGGGGCCCAUCCCGGGUUACCAAACCGAUGCAAACUCCGAAUACCGGUGAGUGCAGUACGGGAGACACACGGCGGGUGCUAACGUCCGUCGUGGAGAGGGAAACAACCCAGACCGCCAGCUAAGGUCCCCAAAUUCCAGUUAAGUGGGAAACGAUGUGGGAAGGCUCAGACAGCUAGGAGGUUGGCUUAGAAGCAGCCACCCUUUAAAGAAAGCGUAAUAGCUCACUAGUCGAGUCGGCCUGCGCGGAAGAUGUAACGGGGCUCAAACUGGAUACCGAAGCUGCGGCAGUGCCUUAGGGCACUGGGUAGGGGAGCGUUGUGUAAGCCUGUGAAGGUGUGUUGAGAAGCAUGCUGGAGGUAUCACAAGUGCGAAUGCUGACGUGAGUAACGAUAAUGCGGGUGAAAAACCCGCACGCCGAAAGACCAAGGGUUCCUGCGCAACGCUAAUCGGCGCAGGGUGAGUCGGCCCCUAAGGCGAGGCUGAAAGGCGUAGCUGAUGGGAAACGGGUUAAUAUUCCCGUACUUCUUGUAACUGCGAUGGAGAGACGGAGAAGGCUAGGCCUACCGGGCGUUGGUUGUCCCGGGGAAAGGUUGUAGGCUGAGGUGUUAGGCAAAUCCGGCACCUUAAGGCUGAGAACCGAGACCACCGGCCCUUUG